GCACUUUAAGCAGUGAAGAAGACUCCGUGGUUAAUACCCACGGACGAUGACAUUAGCUGCAGAAUAAGCACCGGCUAACUCUGUGCCAGCAGCCGCGGUAAUACAGAGGGUGCAAGCGUUAAUCGGAAUUACUGGGCGUAAAGGGAGCGUAGGUGGCUCUAUAAGUCAGAUGUGAAAUCCCCGGGCUUAACCUGGGAACUGCAUCUGAUACUGUUAGGCUAGAGUAGGUGAGAGGAAGGUAGAAUUCCAGGUGUAGCGGUGAAAUGCGUAGAGAUCUGGAGGAAUACCGAUGGCGAAGGCAGCCUCCUGGCAUCAUACUGACACUGAGGCUCGAAAGCGUGGGUAGCAAACAGGAUUAGAUACCCUGGUAGUCCACGCCGUAAACGAUGUCUACUAGUCGUUGG
rnacentral:rRNA from 1 species